CUGGCCUGGCAGAUAAAGUAAAAGCCCCUCUACUUGGAAAAGAAUAAACAGUGGUCAACACUAUUGCCAGGCAACAUGAGGAGAGCUGAGAACAGUGGGGAUCUGCAAAUCAAGCCUGCGUCUGGAAACAGCAGUUUUCCCAGCCCAGCCCAUUGCUAGCUCCUGACAAGCUUUUUACCAUUUAUGUAAAAUUAUGUGUGUGUCUGUACAUAGCCACAGAGGGCUAUGAAGAGAGAAUGCCAGCAGGCUCUCCAGCAUCAUCCACUAACACUUUCUAAGAUGACAGAAAUGUGCUACAUCUGCACUGUCCAAAACAGUAGCCGUGAGCCUCCUGAGCUGCUGAGCACUUGGAAUAUGAGUAAAAGUCUUUGCUGGUGCAUCAGAUUGGCAGAGCAUAGAUCACAUGUCUGUGCCCUAGCUGCAAGGGAGUCUAGGCUCAGAAGCUGCUCUCCUGGAAACUGGACCUGCGACUACCAUCUCUUGACCCACUGGAUGCCUUAAUGCCCAUAUAUCCAGGUGUCACUGGGCAAGCAGUCAAUGCAGAGAUUGGCCACCUUCUCUGAAGCUGAAGCAAUGGGGCAGCAAAGAGUGUCUGCGAUCAGAAGAAGAAAGGAAAAUUGCCACCAUCCUUAGGAAUUUGACAUAUGGAGUUAUAUUUCAGACAACAUUUUGGGGAGAGGCCUUGAGUUUAUUGAAUGAUCAGAAGAAAAAGGUAUUUAGGAUGGAAAUCUGGGAGAUCAAGGCACAGUUGACUGAACCAUUCCAAUUCCAAAUUGUAAGCUCCAUGAGGGUAGGGAUUUUUGUCUAGUUUGUUCAUUGCUGCAUCUCUAGCCAGACCUAAAACAGCAUCUGGCAUAUAAGAGGUACUCAAUCAAUAUUUAGUGAGUCAGUGACUAUGGAAUUCAGCAGAGGAGAGGUGGUCAGGGAAGGAGGCAAACCUAAAAAGCAAAAUGAGAAAUGUGACUUAAUUCAAGUCCUAGAGAGGGAAUGAGGCAGUGAAAUUUGGCGAAUCAGAUCAUGAGCUGUGACCACAGGCAGAUUUGAGUUCAACUCAGGCUUUGCUACUUAGUAGCUCUGUGACUACUGGAAAAAUCAUUUAGCCUCUCCAAGACUCAGUUUUAUCAUCUGUACAAUGGGACUUAUAUUAAAUAUGGUGAUUCUGCAAAUUAAAUAAGGUGAUUUGCAUGACAUAUCUUGUACAUAGUAGACACUCAAUUAUCUGUUCAUAAGGAGGCACAUAUGGUACAUACAUAUGCAUACACACACACACAUGCACACACACGCACAAUCUCAAGGGAUUCUAGGGUAAUAGUGUUUAUAACAUGCUUUCAUAUCCCCAAGAGGAAGAAGUAUGCUACUUCGUCAGUUGUAAAAGGCUUGAUAAUAUAUUGGCUUUAAGGAUGACACAAAUUAAUGCAAAAAACAUGUGAACAAGUGGAGCUUAUAAACUUACGCGGCUGCACCAGCCCAUUACUUUGAGUCCUAACCAUAUGACUAAGUUUUUAGUUGCUUAAGCAAAUAAAUGUUAUCAAACACCCUUUGAAGAACAAGUUAAUUUGAAAUUGAAGUUUUUUCUUAAAUUGACCAUUUG
rnacentral:lncRNA from 1 species